GUAUCUUGUGUUGUUUUUAUUGUUCUAAAUAUUAGGCAAUCAUCUGCAAAUAAUCUGACUUUUGUUCCUCAACUAAUGCAAUUCGGUAAAUCAUUUAUCUAAAUUAAUUGGCCAGAUCGGCUGUCAAAACUGUAACAGCAAACUUACUUUGGGUCUUGAAAAAAAGGACUGGCUCUGUUUAUGUGCUCAAAGUGUCAUGUCUUUUUUGUGACACUCUUCAUGCCAUUGCUGCUUCCUCAAAGACACUUCAAGAGUUUAAACAUUACAAAAUAAACGAUCUUUUUUGAACAUAGGUUUAGAAUAUGCUGGCAUGGAGUCAUUUGGUGAAGCCAUGGGAAUGGAUUCCAUGAGAAGCAAGACCUACAAUACUCAUUUAAAAUACAUAGGAAAUAAAAAUGACACAUUUAUAGAUGACAUACAACUGAAAUCUAUUGCGAAAGUAAGGGAAUUUUAUGGCGCCAAAAGCUAGGAGGAUACUGUUGAACUUACUGUAAGCUUUGAUGGUUCUUGGCAAAAAGAGGACAUACAUCAAAACAUGGCCAUGAAGUUGUCAUUGAGACCACCACUGGAUUGGCUAUUGACUUUCAUGUGAUGUCAACAUAUUGUCAGAAAUGCUCAACAAAUGGAAAGAGAGCAGGCUGCAUAUGGUGAUGGUUUUGAAAACAUCAAAAAGAAUGUGUCAUCAACAAUUCUGGCUCUGCUGGUCUCAUGGAGGUUAAUGCGGCUAAGGUCAUGUGGUGAAGUUUGGCCUACGCUACACUACAUUUGUUAGUGAUGCAGACUGCACAACCCACAAGGAACUACAGUCACUGUCACCUUACAAUGUUGCUAUAAACAAAGAAGAGUGCGCUAAUCAUGUGGCUAAGAGGCUUGGUACUGCACUUAGGAAUCUAGUUUCAACAGAAUCCAAAUUGGGCAGGACACAUGAUGGUCGUAAAACUGGAAGCUUAACAAAGAUGGCUGUUCAACAACUGAGAAAUGGAGAAGGAAGAUAAUGACAACACUACAUCAUGCCUCUUCAACAGAUGAAAGUCCUCAACAUGAUGGAUAUCCUGCUGGAAAGGCUUCUUGGUGAGAGAGCUUUAGCUCAUAAUUACCCUCCUCCUUCUCAUAAGUUAAAGGGCAAGAGUAGCAGCUUCAUCUCCAAAAAUGUAGCUGACAAACUGAAGCCCAUAUAUGAACACCUAAUGUCUGACUCAGAAAGACACAAAGAUAAAGGCACAUUCCUCGUUCCACAUGCUAGGA
rnacentral:sRNA from 1 species